AAUAUUGGACAAUGGGCGCAAGCCUGAUCCAGCAAUACCGCGUGUGUGAAGAAGGCCUGAGGGUUGUAAAGCACUUUCAAUUGGGAGGAAAACCUGUCGGCCAAUACCCGGCAGCUUGACAUUACCUAUAGAAGAAGCACCGGCUAACUCCGUGCCAGCAGCCGCGGUAAUACGGAGGGUGCAAGCGUUAAUCGGAAUUACUGGGCGUAAAGCGUGCGUAGGCGGUUAUUUAAGUCAGAUGUGAAAGCCCCGGGCUUAACCUGGGAACUGCAUUUGAUACUGGGUAACUAGAGUUUAAUAGAGGAGAGUGGAAUUUCAGGUGUAGCGGUGAAAUGCGUAGAGAUCUGAAGGAACACCAGUGGCGAAGGCGACUCUCUGGAUUAAAACUGACGCUGAGGUACGAAAGCGUGGGUAGCAAACAGG
rnacentral:rRNA from 1 species